rnacentral:misc_RNA from 1 species
UUAACAUUGUAUAGUUCUUAGACAGACACGUAAACAGUUCGGGUUAGGGAUCUUUGGCGGGCACUCGCCGGGGCCCCCGGCACAAGGCUGGGAGCCGGCGACGGCCGUAGGAGCUACGGGCGGCCCGCCGAAGCAACAGAGUAUGUAGGCAAGGGUUGGAGGUCUACCCAGAGGGCAGGGACUCGAUAAUGAUCCUUCCGCAGGUUCACCUACGGAAA